UCGAAUGUAAAACUGACUGUGCCUUAGCAUC
rnacentral:piRNA from 4 species